CGUCCAUUUAGCUGUCUAUUUAGCCGUCUACGGUGAGUAUUGGAACACAGCUUGAUUUAUGGAAUGCCGAACAGCCCUGUGGCCCGGUGGUGUGUGACAAUAUUCCGUGCGUCAGGAGUAGAAACGGCCGCCGCACUGGAUACUGCCUUUGUUUGUGCGCGUAAGUUAUGCGCUGCUCAUCGCAGUAACUGGACAGAGUGGUGUUUGUAUUUCGAGUGAACACAAUGUCCGGAAUGAUGGGCUUUCACGCACGCGAAGCCAUCCGCGUCAAAGCAAAGGUCUGACUGCAGCCUUGUACAGUCGCUUCGUAGCUGCUGGGGGCGGAGGACCAAGGAUUACUUUGUACUUUUAUAAGGGAGGUAGUGGCCACGGUGUGGCCAACGCUGCUCUGGUGAUGACGUGCAUUACCGGCUGGUGGUCAUCGCUUGACUGAAAUGUUCACCACGAAACUGCAUUUUGAAGCGAAAAAACGGUCGGAUCCGUCAGUCGCCGGCUGCAUCAGCUGCUGGUGGCGGAGGCAAGGACACUGCGCGUGCGCAUGUCACAGGGCUUCUGGACCCUUCAUAUAUAAACGGACCACCCGCCCGGUGAUGUUCCAGUUUGGGGGCAGUGCGCAACAACUUCAGAUCGCCUGAUACUGUAUAUUUUUUCCCGCAGACUUACUUUCCUGCUUUCCGUGUCCGGUUCAGUAAUCAUGAACUGUAACUCGUCCCCUGAGUUACUCAUCAAGGCAAUGUCAUCAGAGAAUCGCAGGUGACUAAGGAUAUGAAGUCAUGCAGGAAAACGUCAAGUUUUACGCCUCUACCCAAUGUUGAAGGAGUAUAGAUGGUUCGAGUUAACACGAAGAAGCAUCAAACUGAUUCAUCCAAGGCAGAGCAGUUAGGAGCAUGGUGGACAAGCUGAAAGUUAUCAGAAAGUCAAAAAAAUAAAUUGUUGGUUCAUAUGCAUGUAGGACCAAUAUCAAGUGUUA